UUCCAAACCGUUAGUUUACGUAGUUUGUCUAACUCUAAAACUGAACAACUAGUUGAGUAAUUAACAGUGCAAUGUUUAUGCCAAUGUAUUAUGUAUUUUUUAUGCUGUUGUAACAUAUACACAUUUAACUUCCCAAAGUGCACUGCUGCCAAAGAAAAUAGACGGCUGCUAAUAAGUUAAAGCAGAAAGAAACCUAACAGCGGCCACCGUGGCCUUUUUCGUGCGACCGAAAUGUGUAGCAUUAACGUCCAAACGUGCAUGUAGAACUACAUAUCACAUCCACUAUUCGACAGUUUCGACACUGUCAAUAAAAUCGUUCUGUGGUAUGCGUCCGUGCCACAUCCACGUUUGAGCCAAAGGGUAGAAAUGAAAACUAGAAAUACAAUCUCGUAGAAAUACAAGCUCUAUAAAAGCGAAAAUUUAAAGCUAAUAACAAGACAAAUUACCUUUGUCAUGUCCGGUGUGCUACCCAUUGGUUAUGCUGACCCUUCCCCUACAGUUACCUAAAAAAAAGGUUGACGAAAAGAAAUGGAUUAAUCGACAGAACAAAGUUAAAAAAUAAAUAAAAGUGCAACUUAUGAGAGAUGCAUACUAUGUAUGUUA